AAGACUAUAGACCUGCGGAGUACCUGCGGAAGGAUCAUUACUGAAUGUUACCAAACAUAAACCCUUGUGAACCUUCUGUAUUUCUGCCUUGGCAGGUAAUCCCAGGGCGGGAUUCUGGGCCUCUUCGGGGGCACCUGCCAGCGGUGGAACAUUUUCAUACUCUGAAUUACAGUGGAUUUCUGAGUGUCUUCCAAAAAUAAAUUAAAACUUUUAACAAUGGAUCUCUAGAUCGGAAGAGCA
rnacentral:misc_RNA from 1 species